rnacentral:tRNA from 1 species
GUGACUGUGGCUCAGUGGUAGAGUGCUCACCUGGCAAGUGUGAGGCCCUGGGUUCGAUCCUCAGCACCACA